rnacentral:hammerhead_ribozyme from 1 species
GCACUGCUGACGAGUUCCAAACAGGACGAAACAACUGUUUAGUGU